rnacentral:rRNA from 1 species
GAUGAACGCUAGCUACAGGCUUAAACAUUCAAAGUGGAAGGGAAAAUUAGGAAAAGUUUCUUUCCUUUAUUAACGAUUGCGGACGGGGGAGGAAACCGGUACCAACCUUUCCAAUAAUAAGGGGAUAACCCUUUAAAAGACGGCUAAUUCCCUAUGAAAACGGUUGGUUAAAUCCAAAAAAGGAUAAAGGGUUAAGCGGUCAGGGAUGGGGAUGCGUCUGAUUAGCUUGUUGGCGGGGUAACGGCCCACCAAGGCGACGAUCAGUAGGGGUUCUGAGAGGAAGGUCCCCCACAUUGGAACUGAGACACGGUCCAAACUCCUACGGGAGGCAGCAGUGAGGAAUAUUGGUCAAUGGGCGAGAGCCUGAACCAGCCAAGUAGCGUGCAGGACGACGGCCCUAUGGGUUGUAAACUGCUUUUAUGUGGGGAUAAAGUGCGUGACGUGUCAUGCAUUGCAGGUACCACAUGAAUAAGGACCGGCUAAUUCCGUG